rnacentral:lncRNA from 9 species
CAUAGUCAAAGUCUGAAGGCCAUUGGUACAGAAAUAUAUACACGUACACCAUGGGAUAUUCAACAGUUCUCGUACAUGCCAGGCUGAAAACCUGGGACAUCUCUCUGAUUUGAUAAUCACAUUCUUGAGACGUUCAAUCUAGAAAGGAACACUGCUGAGCUGAAAGUGUCUGCGGGUGAGUGAAUAAAGAUCUCUUUUGAAGGCGUGUGGCUCUCUGUACACUCAGUCUCUCCCUCUU